rnacentral:lncRNA from 1 species
UCUCGUCCCCAACCACUCGUUCUCGUUAGUCACUUCGUCCCCUCCACUUGUUCUUCAUGCGUUCCUUUCUCCACUCGUCCAUGUCACCAUCCAACGCUGCAGACAGUAUCCUUUCUCGUCCCCAAUGCCUGCUAAAGAUCGAUCUACAACAUAAAUGAUCGAUUUACAAUGGAGCCGCCACCAACAGAACAACCGAUAGAGUCACCGC